GACGAACGCUGGCGGCGUGCUUAACACAUGCAAGUCGAACGGUGAAGCGCCUUCCUUUUUGGUGGGUGUGGAUGAGUGGCGAACGGGUGAGUAACACGUGAGUAACCUGCCCCCUUCUUCUGGAUAACCGCAUGAAAGUGUGGCUAAUACGGGAUAUUCUGGGUCUGUCGCAUGAUGGGUCUGGGAAAGAUAUUGUUUCGGUGGGGGAUGGGCUCGCGGCCUAUCAGCUUGUUGGUGGGGUGAUGGCCUACCAAGGCGGUAACGGGUAGCCGGCCUGAGAGGGUGGAGGGUCCACCUGGGACUGAGACACGGCCCAGACCCCUACGGGAGGCAGCGGUGGGGAAUAUUGCACAAUGGGCGCAGGCCUGAUGCGGCGACGCCGCGUGAGGGAUGAGGCCUUCGGGUUGUGAACCUCUUUCGCCAGUGAAGCAGGCCUGCCUCGUUUGUGGGUGGGUUGACGGUAGCUGGAUAAGAAGCGCCGGCUAACUACGUG
rnacentral:rRNA from 1 species